rnacentral:rRNA from 1 species
CUCAGGACGAACGCUGGCGGCGUGCUUAACACAUGCAAGUCGAACGGAAAGGCCCAGCUUGCUGGGUGCUCGAGUGGCGAACGGGUGAGUAACACGUGGGUGAUCUGCCCCUGACUUUGGGAUAAGCCUGGGAAACUGGGUCUAAUACCGGAUAUGACCUUCUCUCGCAUGCGAUUUGGUGGAAAGCCUUGUGCGGUUGGGGAUGGGCCCGCGGCCUAUCAGCUUGUUGGUGGGGUAAUGGCCUACCAAGGCGACGACGGGUAGCCGACCUGAGAGGGUGAUCGGCCACACUGGGACUGAGACACGGCCCAGACUCCUACGGGAGGCAGCAGUGGGGAAUAUUGCACAAUGGGCGCAAGCCUGAUGCAGCGACGCCGCGUGAGGGAUGACGGCCUUCGGGUUGUAAACCUCUUUCACCAGGGACGAAGCGCAAGUGACGGUACCUGGAGAAGAAGCACCGGCCAACUACGUGCCAGCAGCCGCGGUAAUACGUAGGGUGCGAGCGUUGUCCGGAAUUACUGGGCGUAAAGAGCUCGUAGGCGGUUUGUCGCGUCGUCUGUGAAAUUCUGCAGCUUAACUGCAGGCGUGCAGGCGAUACGGGCAGACUUGAGUACUACAGGGGAGACUGGAAUUCCUGGUGUAGCGGUGAAAUGCGCAGAUAUCAGGAGGAACACCGGUGGCGAAGGCGGGUCUCUGGGUAGUAACUGACGCUGAGAGCG